UGCAAGACCAGAAAGUUUCUAUACGAACAGAGUGAGACGUGAAAAUGGAGGAGGAGAUGGAGCAACUCCUAAGCAUGGGCUUCUCAAACGACCUGGCGGCCCAAGCGCUAGCCGCCACCGGCGGCAAGUCAACUCUCAAGGCCACCGAAUGGAUUCUAUCUCACAAACACUCUUCCUCCACCUCCUCCUCCCCUCCCAACCCUAAUCCCUCUCCAGUUCAGCCCAAGCUCGAUCGGUUCUUUCACUGCCACUCUAAGCCAUCCAAUUCUACAAUCAAAGAACAACAGAAUGACUCUCCUUUAAUCGAAGAAGAGCAAUCGCCUUCAGCCGCUCUUACUAAGCGGCCCAAACUAGCCGUUAACGGUCAGUCUACUACUACUAACAACCAUCGUGUUCAUGUCCCUCCACACCAACCUUUAUCGGAGCGUAUGCGGCCACGGACUGUAAACGACAUCGUUGGACAAGACCACCUCCUUUCCUCCGCCUCCAUUCUUCGCUCCGCUAUUGACCGUAAGCGUCUCCCUUCGAUUGUCCUCUGGGGCCCACCUGGUACCGGCAAGACCUCAAUAGCCAAAGCAAUCGUAGCUUCGAAUGAGCUUCAGUCCUCGUACAGGUUUGUAGCAUUGUCGGCGGUCACCUGCGGGGUCAAGGACGUCAGGGAUGCUGUGGACGAUGCCAAGAAGACAAGGAAGUUGAACGGGAAAAGGACUGUGCUUUUUGUGGACGAGGUUCAUAGAUUCAACAAGUCUCAGCAGGACUCAUUCUUGCCUGUUAUUGAGGAUGGUAGCAUUGUGUUCAUUGGUGCUACUACAGAAAACCCUUCUUUUCACCUGAUAACCCCAUUGUUGUCCCGAUGUAGAGUCCUAACUCUUAAUUCCUUGAAGCCAGAGCAUGUCGAGACCCUCUUGAAGCGAGCAGUGGAUGAUGGGGAGAAAGGAUUGGCGAAGAGUGUGGGGAUGAAAGUCAGUGUUAGUGAUGAAGUUAUUCAAUUUCUCUCUGCAAAUUGUGAUGGUGAUGCUCGGGUGGCACUGAAUGCAUUGGAGAUUUCUGCUACGACAGCGGAUGCUCGAUUGAAUGAGGAAAAUGUGUUUGCUUCUUCGAAUGCAGUGAUUGUUACUGUGGAUGAUGCAAAGGAGGCACUUCAGUGCAAGCAUCUUGCCUAUGACAAAGCAGGGGAAGAGCACUAUAAUUUGAUUAGUGCCCUACACAAGUCUAUGAGGGGAAGUGAUGCCAAUGCUGCUAUUUACUGGUUGACCAGAAUGUUGGAAGGAGGUGAAGAGCCUCUUUACAUUGCAAGGAGACUGAUAAGGUUUGCGAGUGAGGAUGUUGGCUUGGCAGACCCUUUGGCGCUUAAUCAGUCUGUUGCCUGUUACCAAGCUUGCCAUUUCUUGGGUAUGCCCGAAUGCAAUGUGAUUCUUGCCCAAUGUGCCGCAUACCUGGCUUUGGCUCCCAAAUCGGUCUCUGUGUACCGAGCAAUAGGGGCUGCACAGAAGGUUAUUCGGGAGUCAGUUGGGCAGAAUGAGGGAGUGCCUCUUCAUCUAAGGAAUGCACCUACAAAGCUAAUGAAGGACAUCGGAUAUGGAAAGGGGUAUAUAUAUACUCCUGACAAUCCCUCUGCAACACAGAGCUAUCUACCACCUUCACUUCAGGGGUACAAGUUCCUUGAUUGGCCCAAUGCUGAUGUUGUUGAUGGACAAUAACAGAUGGGAUGGUUUAGCGUCCUCCAGUUUUGGGAAUUUUUGAAAAUGUUUAUCCAUGCUGUAUGGUGAACAGUUUCUGGAGCCUCUUAGGGGCAUAUUGCCAACUUUCAAGUUGUCCUUAUUGUUAUGAUAUUAUCAUGUAUUUGAUGUUUAUAAGUUCAAUAAUAGUAUCCAGUUUCAUCUUGCCACAGUUACUGAGUUGUGUUUUUAUAAAUUUAUUAUCGCCCGUCAUGCCUAAUGGUAAAUUUGGACAUCCUUGGCCUUAAAUUCUUUGGAUGGUGUAAAUCUUUUUCCCACACUUUUGCUUUAGACUGGUAUGAGUUAAUCUCUCUUAAACGAAGAGAUAAACACC